UACGUAGGUCCCGAGCGUUGUCCGGAUUUAUUGGGCGUAAAGCGAGCGCAGGUGGUUUAUUAAGUCUGGUGUAAAAGGCAGUGGCUCAACCAUUGUAUGCAUUGGAAACUGGUAGACUUGAGUGCAGGAGAGGAGAGUGGAAUUCCAUGUGUAGCGGUGAAAUGCGUAGAGAUAUGGAGGAACACCGGUGGCGAAAGCGGCUCUCUGGCCUGUAACUGACACUGAGGCUCGAAAGCGUGGGGAGCAAACAGG
rnacentral:rRNA from 1 species